rnacentral:lncRNA from 1 species
CAUUCAGUCGAUGUACUAUGAUAUCUGGAUCGAUGCCUGGCAUAUCAGAAGUCGAUUAGGCGAACACAUCUGCAUUAGUUUGGAGAAAAGAGAUGAGGUGGUAACGAUCCUCUUCACAUAAAUAUGAGCCAAUCUUAACAACUUUACUUGGAUCUUCAUCAAUUGGCACUAGGAUGAGGUUUUCCACUGGCUUAUCUCUCUGUUCUGUUAGCUCAUCCCAUACAUCAAGCUCAUGUGUUGACUAUUCUCCCAGUGUUUCUCUACAUAAAGUUGCCGUGCAACAUUCUCUUGCCAACUGUUGAUUUUCUUGGAGCUCACCGAUCCUAUAAGAAGUAAAAAUUUUUUCCAUCAAAUAGUAGGUCGACAGUAUAGCUCGAAGAAUAUUCAACCCAAGCCGACCUAAGAUGAUAUUAUACACCAACAGACUCUUUACUAUAAAGUAGUUUAUUUCAACAACAACCUAUUUCGAAGCUCGUCCAGCUAUCGUGAUGAGGGAGAUGGUUCCUUCUACGGAGAUGGUGCUAUCCAAAAAUCCAAUUAGAGGUGAGUUCCUCUUCACCAGCCAC